UGAUGAAAACUGAAGAUGUGUGUAGGCUGCCCACAAGACUUUCCGCAUUAAGACCAAGUUGGCAAAGAAAAUGAAACAGAACAGGCCUAUUCCCCCAUGGAUUAGGAACCGUACUGGAAACAAGAUCAGAUAUAAUGCCAAG